rnacentral:rRNA from 1 species
UAGGGAAUAUUGGGCAAUGGAGGCAACUCUGACCCAGCCAUGCCGCGUGGAGGAUGAAGGCGCUCAGCGUCGUAAACUCCUUUUAUCUACGAAGAACUGUAGGUCUGCGGACUUAUUUGACGGUAGUAGAGGAAUAAGCACCGGCUAACUCCGUGCCAGCAGCCGCGGUAAUACGGAGGGUGCAAGCGUUGUCCGGAUUUAUUGGGUUUAAAGGGUGCGUAGGUGGCGUCUUAAGUCUGGUUUGAAAGCAGGCGGCUCAACCGUCUGAUGUGGCUGGAAACUGGGGCGCUUGAAUGCGUUGGCGGUAGCCGGAACGGGUCAUGUAGCGGUGAAAUGCAUAGAUAUGACCCAGAACACCGAUUGCGAAGGCAGGCUACUACGACGUGAUUGACACUGAGGCACGAGAGCAUGGGUAGCGAACAGG